AUUGAACGCUGGCGGCAGGCCUAACACAUGCAAGUCGAGCGGAUGAAGGGAGCUUGCUCCUGGAUUCAGCGGCGGACGGGUGUGUAAUUCCUAGGAAUCUGCCUGGUAGUUGUGUAUAACGUCCUGAAACGGGCCCUACUACCGCAUACGUCCUGAUGUUGAAAGUGGGUUAUCUUCUUACCUCACGCUAUCAUAUUACCCUAGUUCGGAUUAGCUAGUUGGUUGGGUAAAGUCCUACCAAGGCGACGAUCCGUAACUGGUCUGAGAGGAUGAUCAGUCACACUGGAAGUGAGACACGGUAAAGAAGACUACGGGAGGCAGCAGUGGGGAAUAUUGGACAAUGGGCGAAAGAAUGAUACAGCAAUGCCGCGUGUGUGAAGAAGGUAUUAGGAUUGUAAAGCACUUUAAGGUGGGAGGAAGGGAAGUAAGUUAAUACCUUGCUGUUGUGACGUUACCAACAGAAUAAGCACCGGCUAACUUCGUG
rnacentral:rRNA from 1 species